AGUGAACGCUGGCGGUAGGCCUAACACAUGCAAGUCGAACGGCAGCACAGUAAGAGCUUGCUCUUACGGGUGGCGAGUGGCGGACGGGUGAGGAAUACAUCGGAAUCUACUUUUUCGUGGGGGAUAACGUAGGGAAACUUACGCUAAUACCGCAUACGACCUACGGGUGAAAGCAGGGGAUCUUCGGACCUUGCGCGAUUGAAUGAGCCGAUGUCGGAUUAGCUAGUUGGCGGGGUAAAGGCCCACCAAGGCGACGAUCCGUAGCUGGUCUGAGAGGAUGAUCAGCCACACUGGAACUGAGACACGGUCCAGACUCCUACGGGAGGCAGCAGUGGGGAAUAUUGGACAAUGGGCGCAAGCCUGAUCCAGCCAUACCGCGUGGGUGAAGAGGGCCUUCGGGUUGUAAAGCCCUUUUGUUGGGAAAGAAAAGCAGCAGGUUAAUACCCCGCUGUUCUGACGGUACCCAAAGAAUAAGCACCGGCUAACUUCGUA
rnacentral:rRNA from 1 species